UUCCGGUUGAUCCUGCCGGAGGCUACCGCUAUUGGAGUUCGAUUAAGCCAUGCGAGUCGAGAGUCCUCGGGACUCGGCGCACCGCUCAGUAACACGUGGGUAACCUGCCCUAUGCUGGGGAAUAACCUCGGGAAACUGAGAAUAAUACCCUAUAGUCCACAAUGCCUGGAACGGUUUGUGGAUUAAAGCCCCGGCGGCAUAGGAUGGGCCUGCGGCGUAUCAGGUUGUAGGGGGUGUAACGUACCCUCUAGCCAUCAACGCGUACGGGUGUUGGGAGACAUAGCCCGGAGAUGGAUUCUGAGACACGAAUCCAGACCCUACGGGGUGCAGCAGGCGCGAAAACUUGGCAAUGCGAGAAAUCGUGACCAGGGAACUCCAAGUGGCUGGGGUAAUACCCAGUUUUUUCUUGACUCUUCAAAGGUCUUGGAAUAAGGGGUGGGUAAGGACGGUGCCAGCCGCCGCGGUAAUACCGGCGCCUCAAGUGGUAGUCGCUUUUAUUGGGCCUAAAACGUCCGUAGCCGGUCUGGUGCAUUCGUGGGUAAAUCAACCCGCUCAACGGGUUGAAUUCUGCGAGCACGGCCAGACUUGGGACCGGGAGAGGUGUGGGGUACUCUCAGGGUAGGGGUAAAAUCCUGUCAUCCUGAGAGGA
rnacentral:rRNA from 1 species